rnacentral:rRNA from 1 species
UACGGAGGAUGCGAGCGUUAUCCGGAUUUAUUGGGUUUAAAGGGUGCGUAGGCGGACUGUCAAGUCAGCGGUAAAAUCGAGAGGCUCAACCUCUUCCCGCCGUUGAAACUGGUGGUCUUGAGUGGAUGAGAAGUACGCGGAAAGCGUGGUGUAGCGGUGAAAUGCAUAGAUAUCACGCAGAACUCCGAUUGCGAAGGCAGCGUACCGGCAUCCAACUGACGCUGAGGCACGAAAGCGUGGGGAUCAAACAGG